rnacentral:rRNA from 1 species
CCCUUAGAUGUCCUGGGCCGCACGCGCGCUACACUGACAUGUUCAACAAGUCUCUCCUAGUUCGACAGGACUGGGAAAUCUUUGAACGCAUGUCGUGAUAGGGAUAGAUCAUUGCAAUUAUUGAUCUUGAACGAGGAAUUCCUAGUAAACGCGAGUCAUCAGCUCGCAUUGAUUACGUCCCUGCCCUUUGUACACACCGCCCGUCGCACCUACCGAUUGAAUGUUUCGGUGAAGAUUCCGGAUAGGACUGAUUUGAUUUAUUUCAUUUCUGACCUAAAAGCUAUCUAAACCUCAACAUUUAGAGGAAGGUGAAGUCGUAACA